AUUGAACGCUGGCGGCAGGCUUAACACAUGCAAGUCGAGCGGGGUGAUGGUGCUUGCACUAUCACUUAGCGGCGGACGGGUGAGUAAUGCUUAGGAAUCUGCCUAUUAGUGGGGGACAACAUCUCGAAAGGGAUGCUAAUACCGCAUACGCCCUACGGGAGAAAGCAGGGGAUCACUUGUGACCUUGCGCUAAUAGAUGAGCCUAAGUCGGAUUAGCUAGUUGGUGGGGUAAAGGCCUACCAAGGCGACGAUCUGUAGCGGGUCUGAGAGGAUGAUCCGCCACACUGGGACUGAGACACGGCCCAGACUCCUACGGGAGCUAGCAGUGGGGAGUAUUGGACAAUGGGGGGAACCCUGAUCCAGCCAUGCCGCGUGUGUGAAGAAGGCCUUAUGGUUGUAAAGCACUUUAAGCGAGGAGGAGGCUCUUUUGGUUAAUACCCAGAAUGAGUGGACGUUACUCGCAGAAUAAGCACCGGCUAACUCUGUGCCAGCCGCCGCCGUAA
rnacentral:rRNA from 1 species